rnacentral:rRNA from 1 species
GUCUAUGGCUGCACCACCCUGAAUGUGCCCGAUCUCUUCUGAUCUCGGAAGCUCAGCAGGUUUGGGCCUGGUUAGUACUUGGAUGGGAGACCACCUGGGAAUACCGGGUACUGUAGGCU